GAUGAACGCUGGCGGCGUGCCUAAUACAUGCAAGUCGAGCGAACAGAUGAGGAGCUUGCUCCUCUGACGUUAGCGGCGGACGGGUGAGUAACACGUGGAUAACCUACCUAUAAGACUGGGAUAACUUCGGGAAACCGGAGCUAAUACCGGAUAAUAUAUUGAACCGCAUGGUGCAAUAGUGAAAGACGGUUUUGCUGUCACUUAUAGAUGGAUCCGCGCCGCAUUAGCUAGUUGGUAAGGUAACGGCUUACCAAGGCAACGAUGCGUAGCCGACCUGAGAGGGGGGUCGGCCACACUGGAACUGAGACACGGUCCAGACUCCUACGGGAGGCAGCAGUAGGGAAUCUUCCGCAAUGGGCGAAAGCAUGACGGAGCAGCGCCGCGUGAGUGAUGAAGGUCUUCGGAUCGUAAAACUCUGUUAUUAGGGAAGAACAAAUGUGUAAGUAACUAUGCACGUCUUGACGGUACCUAAUCAGAAAGCCACGGCUAACUACGUG
rnacentral:rRNA from 1 species